UUUAUCAAAUCAUAUUACACACAUAAUCAUGGCUUUGAAAUCACCCCUAGCUAAGAGGGGUUUAGCCACUCAUGUUCACAACAAAACGAAAGAAAAUGAAUUUAAACAUUGGAAACAAAAGAAAGAAAACACCUAAACACUCCAACGAUCCAAGUUGGACAGCAAGCAGGUCCAAGCACUUUCCUUCCCUUCCUUUGCUAUGGCACAAGGUGUUAGUGAGUGUUUGAAGGUUUGUUUGUAUGGAGGAAUUGAUGUAAAGAUGAAUGGAUGUGUUUGA
rnacentral:lncRNA from 1 species